UACGUAGGGUGCGAGCGUUAAUCGGAUUUACUGGGCGUAAAGCGUGCGCAGGCGGCCCGUUAAGACAGGUGUGAAAGCCCCGGGCUCAACCUAGGAAUUGCGCUUGUGACUGGCGGGCUCGAGUACGGUAGAGGGGGGUGGAAUUCCUGGUGUAGCAGUGAAAUGCGUAGAGAUCAGGAGGAACACCGAUGGCGAAGGCAGCCCCCUGGGCCUGUACUGACGCUCAUGCACGAAAGCGUGGGGAGCAAACAGG
rnacentral:rRNA from 1 species